UUCAUCUUCAUCAAUUUUUCUGUCUUCAACC
rnacentral:piRNA from 2 species